rnacentral:misc_RNA from 1 species
AGAGAGAGAGAGAGAGAUGCAAGAGACCCAUUUAUUGUUUAAAUGAUUUAAUUUUAGUUCGCUCGGUUAAGACUUAAUAUUCUUGUUACUACUAUAUUAUAUAAUAUAUGCUUGCGUUGGAAUUAAUAAUUGCACUUUCUCUUUGAUUCCUUAAUACGAAGAGUUUCUUUCUGCUGCUUUAUAUACGCAAUGUCUUGCGUACUUGAGGCUUCUGGUU